rnacentral:tRNA from 1 species
CUUUUUUAGUAUAUUUAGUACAAAUAACUUCCAAUUAUUAAGAUUCCAAUUAAAAAAGCA